UACAGAGGUCCCAAGCGUUGUUCGGAUUCACUGGGCGUAAAGGGGGCGCAGGUGGUCGGGUAAGUCUGACGUGAAAUCCCGCAGCUUAACUGCGGAAUGGCAUUGGAUACUAUUCAGCUAGAGGGUUGGAGGGGGGACUGGAAUUCUCGGUGUAGCAGUGAAAUGCGUAGAUAUCGAGAGGAACACCAGUGGCGAAGGCGAGUCCCUGGACAACUACUGACGCUGAGGCACGAAAGCUAGGGGAGCAAACAGG
rnacentral:rRNA from 1 species